UGGCAGGCCAGGCUGGGCUCGGCUGGGCCCUGAGGUCGCCCAGUGGGAGCAGUGACCGUGCCACAGCAGGCCAGGCUGGGCUCGGCUGGGCCCUGAGGUCGCCCAGGGGGAGCAGUGACAAUGCUAUGACAGGCCAGGCUGGGCUCGGCCAGGCCCCGAGGUCGCCCAGUGGGAGCAGUGACCAUGCCACAGUGGGCCAGGCUGGGCUCGGCUGGGCCCUGCGGUCGCCCAGUGGGAGCAGUGACCGUGCCGCGGCGGGCCAGGCUGGGCUCGGCCGGGCCCCGAGGUCGCCCAGUGGGAGCAGUGACCGUGCCGCGGCGGGCACUUUCCACAGACUGCUUUUUCACUCACUAGAAACAACUUGCAAUUUACCUGCCGGUAACAAGUUCAGUCCCUCUGGCAGGAUUUCAA